rnacentral:rRNA from 1 species
AAUCAACGCUGGCGGCGUGCCUAACACAUGCAAGUCGAGCGGGAAAGGGGGCUUCGGCCCUGAGUAUAGCGGCGGACGGGUGAGUAACACGUGGGUAAUUUGCCCUUGGGUGUGGAAUAACUCAGGGAAACUUGAGCUAAUACCGCAUGACAUCCCCUUCACACACGAGUCGGGGAUCAAAGCCGGGGGACCCUUCGGGG